rnacentral:rRNA from 1 species
GACAGAGGGUGCAAACGUUGUUCGGAUUUACUGGGCGUAAAGCGCGUGUAGGCGGCCUUGCAAGUCGGAUGUGAAAGCCCACGGCUCAACCGUGGAAGUGCAUCCGAAACUGCAUAGCUUGAGUCUCGGAGAGGAAGGUGGAAUGCUUGGUGUAGAGGUGAAAUUCGUAGAUAUUGGGUGGAACACCGGUGGCGAAAGCGGCUCUCUGGCCCGGAUCUGACGCUGAGGCGCGAAAGCGUGGGGAGCAAACAGG